rnacentral:rRNA from 1 species
AUUGAACGCUGGCGGCAUGCUUUACACAUGCAAGUCGAACGGUAACAGGCCUUCGGGUGCUGACGAGUGGCGAACGGGUGAGUAAUGCAUCGGAACGUGCCCAAUCGUGGGGGAUAACGUAGCGAAAGUUACGCUAAUACCGCAUAAGCCCUGAGGGGGAAAGUGGGGGACCGCAAGGCCUCACGCGAAUGGAGCGGCCGAUGUCAGAUUAGCUAGUUGGUGGGGUAAAGGCCCACCAAGGCGACGAUCUGUAGCGGGUCUGAGAGGAUGAUCCGCCACACUGGAACUGAGACACGGUCCAGACUCCUACGGGAGGCAGCAGUGGGGAAUUUUGGACAAUGGGCGCAAGCCUGAUCCAGCCAUGCCGCGUGAGUGAAGAAGGCCUCGGUU